rnacentral:tRNA from 1 species
CGGAACGUAGCGCAGCCUGGUAGCGCACUUCCUUGGGGUGGAAGGGGUCCCGGGUUCAAAUCCCGGCGUUCCGACAA